UUCUUUAUUGAUUUUUAUAUAAGGUAUAACCUGCUCAAUGAUUUUUAAAUAGCCGCGAUUUUAUCGUGCUAAGGUAGCAUAAUAAUUUGUCUUUUAAUUAAGGUCUAGAAUGAAUGGUUGAACGAGAAACUAACUUUUUUAAUUAAAUUUUUAUGAAUUUUAUUUUUUAGUAAAAAAGCUAAAAUUUAUUUAUGUGACGAUAAGACCCUAUAAAAUUUUAUUUUCAUAUUUUUAUUUAUUAACUGGUUAAUAUAAUUUUUUAACUAUCUUGGAAAUUUGGUUGGGGCGAUUAUUUUAUUUUUUUAACUUUAAUUUUUACAAUUCAUUAAUUUGUGAAUUAUUGAUCCUAAAUUUUAGAUUAAAAGAAUAAAUUACUUUAGGGAUAACAGCGUAAUUUUCUUGGAGAGUUCUUAUUAAUAAGAAAGAUUGCGA
rnacentral:rRNA from 1 species